GACGAACGCUGGCGGCGUGCUUAACACAUGCAAGUCGAACGGAAAGGCCCUGCUUUUGUGGGGUGCUCGAGUGGCGAACGGGUGAGUAACACGUGAGUAACCUGCCCUUGACUUUGGGAUAACUUCAGGAAACUGGGGCUAAUACCGGAUAGGAGCUCCUGCUGCAUGGUGGGGGUUGGAAAGUUUCGGGGGUUGGGGAUGGACUCGCUGCUUCUCAGCUUGUUGGUGGGGUGGUGGCUUAGCAAAGCAUUGACGGGUUGCCGGGCUGGGAGGGUGGCCGGACAAAAUGGGACGGGGGUGAGGCACAGAAUACAAACGGAGGGGAGAGGGGGGAAUAGUGGAAAACGGGGGGAAGGAAGGAAGAAGAAAGGCGGGGGGGGGAAGAGAGGCAGGGGGUUGGAAAGCAGAUUUGGAUGAGAAGGAAGGGGAAUGACGGUAAUGGGGAAAGAAGGACCGGCUAACUACGUG
rnacentral:rRNA from 1 species